UAUACUUUCUGGAAUAUAUUGUAGAGUGAAUUAUUUGCAGUGUAAACUGUGUCAUUUAGAAAUAAAAACUACACCAUAAAAACCAUGAAAGAAUCCCUUUAAUAUAUGUUAUGCUCUUAUCCAGGUAAGAAUGACACAUGUACGCCUCUAGUGUUUAUGGACUGAAAUUCCCCGAAUACUCAUAUUAGAGUUUGGCAAACCCACCUCGUGCUACUUUGUCUUUUCCCAUCCUUAGUAUGCUCUUCUGCUCCAAUUGGUGAACAACCAAAUGAUGACACAAUGGAUGGGGAUUUUCAGAGUGAACACUGACCGGAUUGUCCCUCAGGUAUGGGAGCCCCAGCAGUGUCAAUAAGGAAUAUUUUGAAUUUUCAGAGUAUUGUUUGAAGACCUAUGCUGUUGGAGUUUUGCAGUUUCUCGAAAGACCCAACAGCAGCUCUCAGUUUUUCGCGGGAACCAGCUUGGACGCCAUUGAGUAAAGAACCCCCAUGGGUGCAGGGCUUGUACGGGAUACUAACUUUGCAAGGAGGUCAGGAGUUUAAAAACAGGACAGGUUGAAGUUGCAAAAGGUCACCAGCAUUAAACUAUAAGGGCAAUUCCAGAAAGCAGGUCCUUGGCUCAAGUCCAGAAGUUCCGAGGCUUCUGGAGGAGGUAGAACCACAUACGAUGUUGGUUGUUGGAUUUCAUUGGAAAUUGUUUGUCUAAACACCCUAAUUCCUUUCCUCUUGCUUGAUCCUUACUGUCCAUAAGUGCAUUGGGUAUUUCCAGUCUAUUCAUCACUAUUAAUCUGCUGUGUGUCCUGCAUCUCCGCCAUCGCUGGGCUAAACCAUUUAAAUUUUCCUGUGGGGAGUUAGCGUUUUCCAACAACCUUCUCUGCUCCAAUGGGCUUUCUGCUGACAUGGGGAGGCCCAUUUAUCAAAGUCUGAAUUUAUUAGGGAUGCACCGAAUCCACUAUUUUGGAUUCUGCUGAACCCCGAAUCCUUCAUGAAAGCUUCGGCUGAAUACCGAACUCUAGUUUG